rnacentral:rRNA from 1 species
UACAGAGGUCUCAAGCGUUGUUCGGAUUCAUUGGGCGUAAAGGGUGCGUAGGUGGCGGGGCAAGUCAGGUGUGAAAUCUCGGAGCUCAACUCCGAAACUGCACUUGAUACUGCCUUGCUGGAGUACUGGAGAGGAGAUUGGAAUUUACGGUGUAGCAGUGAAAUGCGUAGAUAUCGUAAGGAAGACCAGUGGCGAAGGCGAAUCUCUGGACAGUUACUGACACUGAGGUACGAAGGCCAGGGGAGCAAACGGG